UUUAUAUUUGUAUAUAUAUUUAUAUAUAUAUAUAUUAUAUUGUGUUUACUUAACAAACAUGAUAAAUGCAAUGUCUCCAAGUUAGCUGUAACAAUAAAAAUACAAUAUCUUUGUGUCCUUAAAGUACAUAGAAUUAAAACAGCAAAACAAAUCAAAACAAACAAACAAAAAAACCGCUCUAAGUAGUUCACAGAGAGGUACAAAUAUACAGUACAAAUCUAUUUUAUUCAAAAAGGAUACAAAUAAAAACGCAACAAAAUAGAGAUAGUAAUGCUUUGUUAAAGUCAGGUAGGUGUAGGAUAUUCUAAGGGAGCACUUUGGGUCGACAACUCUAAGGCUUCUGAUUAAGAUCAAUACAUAUUGGUACGGCCAUACGAUAUUAAAACUCACUAUACAAAGUUCAUACAACCUGGAUUAUACUUGAGGAUUGAAUGUUACAUUUACAUAAUUGCAUAUAUUUUUGCAGAUUUAGGCAUUUAAAAAGAUGCUGUUUUUUGUUUUGUUUUUAGUUAUGCGUCACAUAAAUAGCAGUGUCACCGUGUGCAGAAGGAAAAAAAAAAUAGUACAAAGUCAUAUCUGAAAAUACACAGACUUUUUAAAACUUUUAACCGUUCUCAUUUCUCCUGAUUUAAUUCGACAUCAGCGGCACCAAAACCGUCCUAAAUUCACCUUUGCAAUACUGGAUCAACAGGAAGUAGUUCACAUAGAAAUCCCAUCGAGCAACGCCACAAAACAUUGAAGAGAAAAAAAAAUAGUCACAUUACCACCGAUAGAAAAGUUUUGGCUUUAUGCAGCCUUUCUCACUUAUCCAAACCCGCCUCUGCUGUUCAGACUGUCAGAGCACAAAACACCAAACACCACCCAUUAAUUUCUAAGGAGGAAAGAAAAAAAAAACCCUACAAAUUCUGUGCAACAACAAUAAAAACAACUGUGCAUCUGUCUAUGCAUGUGAGGAAUUAAUAGAUUGCCCUCCUUUUGCUGUCUUGUGUACAAAAAAAGUGCAGAGAAAAGCCUCCUUUCCAUUCCCACAUACUGGAAAAAAAAAAAUAAAGGAUCUGAAUGUUAAAUAUGAGCCUAAAGAAUCUAUUAAAAACGGAAUAAGAAAUGUGUUUAAAAAGAAAAAUGAAACCAAACCAAAACGUUGCAGAGUUCAUGUCCCAAAGAAAGCCCACAGUCAACCUUUGAGACAUCUAAAUAUGAAUGUUUGUCAUUUCUGAUUCACUCUUAUUCAACCUGAAACUGGGACGCUGAGCCUACCUGGAGCAUCGUUUCAAUUUCACAUAUUGUACAAAGCAGAAUUUAAGGCAUUAACGACAAGCAUCAUCGAAGCUAUCUAUACAAAAAAUACAGCUAUCUACAGAAACGCACAACCUGUGAUUUCUCCGUGAUUUUUUUGUGUGCUUUACAUUUUGAAACUCUUCAAACUACCAACAGAUUUCAAACACUGUAAAGGAGGACAUUUAGUGCAAUUACUUACAGCAACAGACGAUCAGUGAUGUGGAUCAUUAGACAUCUUUAUUUGAGUGGAUACUUCCCAAAAGCAGAGGGGGAAAAGAAAAAAGUCACAGGUGGCACUGCUCGCACCAUUUAAAUGUCGUCAAUUGAAUCCUGACCUUACACAUAAUGCAGAAGCAGCAAUCGCGCCAUGGUAAUGCAGGACGAAUGCAUUGCUAUUUGGCAAAGUGUGUGGCGUCGCAGGACAAUAAACAUCGAUGAGAAUCACUGAGCAUAAAAUACAAAGUGGUAAAGCAAAACACUGCUUAGAUUCCUAUUAGAAGAGUAAUUUAAAGCAAAAAUCAGCGUGGAACGACUGCAUCCGCCGACCUGCCCCGCUGCUUCAGAGUUAAGACAAUGAAGGGUACAAUACUGAGGUUACUGCAUAGAGAAGACUACGUGAAAUGUUUUCAGGUAUUGUGUAUAUUGCUUACAGGAUGGAAAACUCCAAUCAGAUGAUCAGAUAUAAAAAAAAAAAAAAGUCUGGGUUCACAUGUUUGCUAGUUUGACUAACCUGUCCAUAUCAAGUUUGACAGUUAUUAGUUGAAAUCUUUCCUCCUGUCCACACCGGCUGUAAAAAGGUUCAUUUCAGGCCUACACUGACAUUUAAGUGGGAUGUGAGGGCAGCAGGCGAAACAGAGACAUCCAGACUUGGCUCUCCAUGGCCAGCUCUUCUGGAAGGACAGUAAGGGUUUUCCGAGUAGGACACACCUGGACCUUACCAAGAAUGCAGGAGACAUCUUGACCACAUGUCCGAACAACCUGAACUUCGUCCUUUCAGCGUCGAUGAGUAGCAGCUCUACUCUGUGCCCUUUCUAAAAAACCAAACUCCUCACCCUGUCUCUAAAGGCUGAGCCCGAGCACUCUUUAGAAGACGCUCAUCUCUACCGCGUGCACCCACAGUCUCACUCUUUCAUCAUUCUCCACAACUUGGCGUCUUCAGGAGUCUGACUUUCACAAAUCACAAUGUGUAUCUCCAACAAGCAUGAUAUGCGGGUGUUAGGAUAACCAUGAUUUUUUUUUUUUUAAAGAAAGAAAAGAAAUACUGACAUAUUAUUAAUACACACUUGAAAAUAUCAAAUAACUGUCUAACAGUUAUAGUUACAGAUUUUGUUUUCCACAUCCCUACAAUUGUUAAUACUUUUUGGAAAGAAACUGCACACGCAAUAAACUAAAGUAUUAUUUUUAUAGAUAUGGCACGACUGUUACAUUUUAAACGUCUAAAAGUUAUUUUAAUGUGCGACUUUGCCAUAUGACUCCUGAAGCCCAAUAUUACUAUUCCACAACACUGCAUUGAAAGACCGCUGUAGCUUUGAGAGGGAAUCUUUAUACAAGCAAGAAUGGAUAGGAGGAAUAAGUAAUAUGUGUGCGUGAGAGAAAGAAAAAUGUGAACCCAUCCUUUAAAACUGCUCAGGCUCAAUCUCAUGACCCCUUCUAUCUGCUGAUAGAAGUUCAGUGAAUCACGAGGAUAUAAGGGAAACACACAACAGUGUCUGGACCUCACAAACAAACUAGUCCAUAACAGCACACAUGACAAUAACAACCACACAACUGAUGCUGCUGUCAGAGCACGUCGAAUUUAAAAGAUACAUGAAAUAUUCCUAAGUAAGUUGCCAAAGGUAAGUCCAGAUAUCUAUGGCAAAAGAAGUACUUUUUGAUGGGAAUGUCUGAGUGAGGAAUGUCGUCUGACUACGAUUUUAUGUAUGGUCUAAUUGCACUUAUUUUUAAUUACACCCUUUUUUGAUUCUUUUUUUUUUUCUCCUGUAAGAAAGACAAAAGGAAGAAACUGCAGCAUUUAUGUCGGCUAAUUUGUAAACAGAUUUAGAAACGCAAGUCAGUUUUUUUUCCUCUCGCCACAAAACCCCAACAACAAUACUUUAAACCUAUUCCCUUCAUUAAAAAAAUAAACUACUGUACUGUGAUUCCUAUUUAAAGGUCAGUAUGAAAUAAAUGUGACAUCUGCUAUGUGCAACACAAGACAAUCUUAGGAACCACUGGAAUAAAGACAGCCUAGUAUCAAUGCAAAACGUACACUUUAAAAGGUAAAAAAAAGAAGUUGAUGAUGAUUGUGAUUUCAUUAGAGCCGGGCAUCUCUUGGAUGUGCACUUCAGUAAAUCCAUUAAAAAAAAAUUAAAAAAUAUCAGUGAAGUGAAAAAUCCAUGUUUGGACAAUGACUUCUUGAGAAAGUUUCCAAAGGCUUUGUUUGUGCAGGAUUGCUAAAUUAAUGAAAAUGAGCAUUAAAAAGAGUGCAUCGCCUUUAAGAGUCAAGGGAUGAGAGGGUGAGAUCUCACACUGCACAUUUAUCGAGAUUUACCACACCCCACAAGAAGUUCCUGGGAGAGGGCAAUACGGAUCAGUAAAGCCACAUAGCAUAAAAAUAACUAUUGCUUUAAUCUGGUUACUGAGCAAGUCAAGUUUAGAACAUCACGGCCCCACUCAUAUACACAAAAAACUACUACACCCUCCAACUCCGGACUCCUGGGCUGUAGGUGGCAGUGCAGCCAGCGAAGCAAAAAGGGAAACAACUUGCUGGCUCAUUCCCACAGGUGGCUUUAGUGAUGACCAGGCGGUGCCUCCUCCUUAAUUACAAAGUUCACAAGAGAAAAC
ensembl:lncRNA